AAUUAUUUAAGCAAAAUAAAAGUGACCAUUGUUCUUGAUACCUUUUGCUUCAACUCUAACUUUCAUUUUGUGCUUUCCUUUCUGGAGAAGAGAUUGAAAGAAUUACUACAUAAUCAUCUUGUAAAUACGAAUCUCAUGGUCUUCUUCUAUAUAUAUAUAUAUAUAUAUAUUAUUUAGGAGUUUCUAUUGGUUGUUUGAUUUGCAGCUUUAUUUCAAGUGUUCAAAAGAUCAAGAAAUUGCAACCUGGAUAGGAGAUCAAUGAACUGAGGUAUGUCGAUUUCAUAGUUGUUCCAUUUGAGGCUUAUUUGUUAUUUUAAUUGUUCAGGUUAGAUUUGUUUAAAUUUUCCAGUUCAUUCGUUCAGAUGUCCAUUUCUUGUGAUUUUAGCUUUGAAUCUUGGGCAUAACUGGGUUAUGUCAAUUUCAUAGUUAUUUCAUUUUUCAUGGUUAUUUCAUUUUAGUAUUAUAUGUGCUUUUUAGUCAUUUCAUCUUAUUGUUAUCAUGCCUCUAGCCAAAGUCGUCCAAAAGUUUGAUCAUUGGCUUUGGGGUUAACAUUUUUUAUGUUUGUAGUUUUAUUAUUUUGUGCAAAACGGAUUUGAUGGUUUAUUGUUUGAUCACAAAAAUAACGUUCACAUCAUACUAAUGUUGCUUGUUGUAGAAUCUGUUUUACUGGUGAAGGUUUCAUAUUUACAUCAUGGAGUUAAAUUUAUUUGGAAUUAAUAAAAAUUAAGGGAUUCAAAUUUUGAAUGAUUUGCAUCAAGAGUUUUGUGAUUAAGAUAUUUUGCAUUUAUUUUAAAGAUGCAAAAAUUUGGUUUUAGAAAUGAUCGAGAUUGCCAAUUUUUGGGUUUAUUUUGCUACUGUACUGUUGAUGGAUCAUAAGCAACGAGACAUGUUUCUUGUCAAAUGUUUGAAUAUGGUUCACGUGAUGGCUUUUUGGUCCUUAUUCAUUUAGUAGGUUACUAUUUAGUGUCACCAAUAGUGUGCAUCUUAUUAGCCGUCUAAAUUUUGUUGAUAGAUACUUUGAUUUAAUUUUUCCCCUUUACAUGAUUAUGUUUUAUUGAAGUUUGUACAUUUUCAUUAUGUGGAAGUAUGUAUAUAUAUCGGUUAGCAGUGCAAUAGUUCUUACCAUUUUUGGUAUGUUAAAUCAACUUUUGAACUUUUCAUUGAAGAAGAAGCAAGACUGAAAAUCCGUUUGGUAACUACACAGCAUUACUUUGCAUUUGGAGUACUUGUGGGAGAGGAAUAGUUCUUGCCUCAUGUUUUGGAACGAUGCAUAUAUACACACACGCGCGCGCGCGCGAUGUCUUUAGCUAUCUUUGCACUGAUGAAUGGAUCGAACAUUUGUCUUUAGGCUGCACAUAACCAUUAUGUAUUCAUCUGCAGUAAGGAAGAGAAUUUGAACAAUAUAUAAUUUUGGCUUCCGAUCUAGAAAUCGAGCUUUUUCAAUUGAAAUAUGAUACAUCUUUAAUUGUCUACAAAUGCAAACUAUUACUAUGAAUAUUUAGCACAUGAGAACUUUAAUAUAACAAGAGGUACUUCCUCGCAUAAAAUGUUAAAAUUUCUUUUUGUCUUAUUUGUUUUUUACAAGAUCGAUGGUUACAAAGUUAUUCCCAGUUGCAAUUUAUUGUCCAUAUAAAAUGCGAUUUUAAUUAUAGGGACCCUAAUAUAUCCUCUAAAAAUGUGAUUACAAGACAUUUGUUGGAGGUUAAAGCCUAAUUAUUCUUUAUUUUGGCUAUUGAUUGUUAUGAUUCAGACCGACAAUGAUAUGAAAUUCUCAUUAAAAGCUACCCAUGGUUGAGAUUUUAAAAUUGGAGUUAAAAUGGUUUUAAAAUAUAACUGUGAUAUGUAGUUUUUAAAGGAAGUGAACAGUUAAAACAAGAUAUGAAUACAUUGCAUAAAUACUUUAGUUAAGUAUUAUGUGAACACAUUAGAUAUUUGAAUGUAGAUAUGAUCUUGUUUCUUUUCUGAAAUAAUAUGUGAACUUGAAUUUGGCAUGUGAAAGUAUGAUUUGUCAUGUAUGUAUCGACAAAAUGCUUACCUUCUUUGGAUUUUACAACAGCCUUGCCAUGUUAUAUAUAGAGAUAAGUCUUACGUUUACAAACCAUCUUCCAUUAUAGUAAAUACUUUAACUUUUUUUUUUUUGGUCAUUUUGCAGUUCCAUUUUGACACGGAGAGUGCAAAGGUAUUAUUUAUCUUGUAUCCCAGAAAUAUACUGGAGAUCAACAAUAAAAGUUACGAGCGUAGUUUUUUAUAUUUUUGUGCACUUUUGUAAUAUGUGUCAAAUUUAGGUGUUAUGAUAUGGAAGAAAAGGCUACAAAGGCUUAUGAUUUGGUAACACUGUAAGUACUGGGGACCUUCAACCCAUAUCAAUUUUUCGGUAAUGGUUUUUACUUCAUGUUGUUUAAUCUAUUGAUCUAUUAUAUUAUUAAGCCCCUUUUUGGUGUACAUUUCUUUGUCAUUUUAGAAAAUUUCAGAGCGUUGCACAGUAUCAUGAUGCAGUCAUUUGGACCCAAUGUGCAUACUUCCACUGUGUACUAUUAAAGAUUUUUCUUCCAUUUUCCACUUCUGCCGUCCUCCGUUUGCAUAGUUAGAAGGUGAAUUUAGGGAUUGAUUGGGUUGUUGGUAGGUUGGAGGUAAAAGGGGAAAAAAGGCAAAAGAAAAGAAUAAAAGCUGUUAACCUUUUGUUACGUUGUGUUAGGAUGAAGGACCGACCACUGUGCAUUUGCCAGUGCAAAUGGUCCAAAUAUUUCUAGAAAUGAAAUAAUAAUGCGCUCCAAACGGGGGUUAAAUGAGUUGAAAUAUGAUCCUUGAUGUUAAUACAGUUGGAAAAUUAUCAACAAAAACUUGAAGAAAUGAAAAACAUGACCACACACGAAUGUUUUGCUCACUUGAUAUGGUUUUAAUUCUAUGCGUACGAAUGCUACAAAAGUGAGUUCUUAAGAAAUGCAAAUUACAGUUUUGUUCUAGAUAAAGUGUAUUUACUAUACUAUUGUACUGAUGUCACAAUCUUUGCAGGUUUUGAAAUUUAUCUCUGCACUAGAUGGUCGUGAGGGAAAUUCAAGUGCUGAUAUUCUUCUGAAUUUUAUGGGUGGUCGUUUGUCAAGAAUAACUACUGCUUCAGUCACCUAUCCACUAUAUUUUGUGAAGACACAGCUUGCUGCAAAGGUAAUAUAGUAAAACUUCAUAUAGAACUACCGAAAAAGAAAAGAUUAACAUAAAUCAUGAGGACAACAUACACAACUUAUUUUCAAUAAAUUUGGCUGGGGACAUAAUAGCUGGAAUAGAAAUAGUGUUAUGCCCGAUGAAGCUACUCUUUACCUUAUGAAAUUUAUUCAAAAUCUAUUUUAAUUCUUUUCAUGCUUUCUUCGGAGUGUAGAGCCUUCGUUUGAUGUUUUUUAACAGAACCCAUAAUAUAGACAGGCUCCACCACUCAUAUAUAACGGUUGAUUAUUUACCUUGUCGGCAGUAUACAAUAAUUGGAAGAAAUUUCCUAUCUAUCCUCUUGAACUAAAGUUGAAAUGAAAAAGGUUAUUGGCCAAAUUGUCCACACAUGUAAUUUUAACUCUAUUCAUAAACAUUUUUAUCCCAAACAUUCAGAUUUUACAAAAUACAUAUUAUAUUGGUCUUUUGUCAUUUUAUCUAUUUGUAUGAUAUAAAAUAUUUUUAAUCUGUCGUUUAUUUUGCUCAAAAUAAUUUUACAAUAUCUCUGCAUAUAUUUACUAAUUUUGAAACUUUAUGUUUGCAUUGCAAAUAUACUUUACAAUUUAAUUUUAUUUAUGUGUAGUCUAGACAAACUAAUUAUGAAAUUUUGUCUUAUGUUAUGUCUUAUUUCUUCCUUGCUGUAAAAAAGAAGUGAAUGAGAAAAGUUCAAAAUGUCCCUCCUAUAGGAAGAAAGGUAAUUUUUUAAAUCCAUUUCUUCUGCUUCUAUAUAUCUUAUAGAUUUCUUCAAUGUCUUGGUCACUUUUUGUUAUAUAUUUAUGGUAUAAAUAUAAAAUGAGAAAGAAAUAAUCAAAUUAGAUAAAGUGCCAGAGUGGUGGGAAAUGUGGCUUCUGUGUGGUGAAGACUGUUACUUCCAUCUUACCUAUAUAAACCCAUAUCCUGUUUUGGAAAAAAGACACACAAAAAGAAAAUAGAAAAACCAUCUUGCAUCAAUCUUCCUUCUCAUAUUCUGAAUUUCUUAUAUUCGUGUUUUUUACAUAUAUUUUGGAGUAAAACUGAGAGUUCUUGAUAAACCAUUCGUGAUUGCUGCACAAGUGGUUUACGAUCGUUGUAUCCUGGGAGUGAUUGUCCACGGAGGUCGCAGCAAUUAUCGACGGGCAAUUUCACUUUAGGACAUCGUGCUGUCGCGAGACUCGAUCGGACGAUCAAUUUUAUAUUUCUGCAUUAUAUUGUUCUGAUCACUACUGCAACUAAAUAUCUUUUCCAACACUUUUGUAUUCAUUGGAAGGUUAUAAUGUUAGGUUAUCACAUGUAGGCACUUAAACUUGCAAAAUAGCUUUUUUGUUUCCACUUCUUGUUUAACAGCAUCUAACAUUUAAGUUUCAGGUCAUUAAUGCCACUAGCAAUGAGACCUGGGGCACUCAUGGAUCUCUUCGUGCUGAUAUUGCUCAAGCAUAAAAAAAAAUUAUUAAGUUUAAUGAAUCUUCCUUGUCUUCUCGAUCAUCCUAUUCAUCAUAAAUUAUUCAUUUUUUAUUUCAAUAAUCACGAGUAUUAGAUAAUUAUGGCAGUAAUCUCAAAGCACAUCAAUGAUACUAGAAAAAAUUGGCGUCAUGUCUAAAAGGUUUUUUCCCCUUAUUUACAAAGAAGUUGUUGGUUUUGUCAUUGAAAUUCUUUUCUAUGCAAGCUUACUGAAAUUUCAUGUUAUAUAUUUUUACUCAGUUUUUCCCCUUUGAUUAGUUUUUCCUAAAUCUUAUCACCUGUUAAUUUAUUCUUUCUUAUUCCUCUUAAAUAUUUUUAUACUAUAUUGUUUAUGUUAUCAUUUAAUACGUUCAUAAUACAUUAAUACCCACAAUUGAUGGCAAAUUGAUUCAGACAUAAAUGGUUUUUUUAUUCAAUUUGAAAUGAUAAAUACACAUCUCAAGGGUGUUUUAUUUGCACCUUCAAAUAAAUUUGCAAUGUACAUUACCUAUUCUUUUGAGUUUUUUUUUUUCUUUUCUAGAAAUGGUGCAUUCUUAUUACUUGCUUUCAUAUAAGUUAGUUCUUCUAAUCCUAUAUUCUUCUUUAAACAUUAAAUCCAUAUCAACAUUAAAAAUGCUAAUAUUACGUUCAAAAUAAUCCGACCCGUGCAUUGCACGGGCAACAAACUAGUAUCACUACAAAAGGCAUUUCUAUAGUAGCUACAACACGGUAGAAGAAGGAUCAAUAGCUAUUUUUCAUCUGCGUGGAAAUUUAAGUACGAUUUCCAGCAAUAGUAACUAUAUCAUUGCUGAUCGUGUGAGCUUUUGGGAUUCAAAUUUCUUGGUGUAUUCUAUAGUUUCACAAUUCUAUGUAAUUUUUCAUUCUUAGCUAUACUGCAAUUGUCCAGAAAUUGUUGAUUAUCCAUACUGCACUGCAUUAGAAAUUCUGAAAAUUUAAGAACCCUGAUCUGAGUAUACACUGCUGUUGGUUUAAUUUUUUCAAGAGGCACUUCGAUAGAAACGCUAGAAGGGUACCGAGCAUCAGCAGCUGGAAUUUUUUCAAGAAUUGAACGUACGUUGCACAAGAUUUCAAAAUUCUCUUUAUUAUACAACCCAGUUCUAUCCAAUUCUCCCACCACAACAUGGCAAAAGAAUAUAAAGGGAUAAAGAGUUAUGUUGAAUAGUGAUAUGCUUGGAAGAGAUGUAAAGGGGAAAGGAAAGGAAAAGAGAAGCAGAAUCCUUGCUUAGAUACAGAAGCAAAGUGGUGUGUCCCAUUCUUUCAAUUUUCCAUAUGAUUUCUUCAAGCAUAUGUUCCAAAUGCAUCUCAAAACAUUUUCUCGUUAUUCUCAUUCUCUGGAGGGAAAAAUAUGUAUUUUUGCUUUCAUCUAAUUUAGGUACUACUUGAUACCUUUUGACUAAAAAUUUUGCUCAAUGAACAACGGACGAUAUGGUUAGAUAGCAUAUAAUGGUAUGUUGAGAUCAU
rnacentral:lncRNA from 1 species